CAUAUCUGAUUUAGUCCAAGCUUGUAUUAAAAUAGUUUUGUAGUUCUUUUGAUCAGUUCAGCAACAUUAUGAUUCUUGAAUUUGGAAAGUAGCUAGGAUUGUAUUUGGUUUCUUGAAGUAUUGGCUUGUUUUAAGAAUUCACAUUUUUGUUUUCCAGAAUUCAUAGAGGAAGAUUUAAAAGAUAUUUUACUGUUCUAGAGAGUGGGAGGCCACAUGAAUUUCAUCUGUUUCUGCUUUUCUUGAACAUCACUUUUGUGUCAUCAUAUCAUGCCUUAUUUCUUCCAUUCUGCUCUUCAUGAUAAUGUUCUACUUGUGCUAUCGCUAUGUUCUCCUAAUUUUGUUUUGGUACCACCAUUGCAUGAUUUUGCCAAAUAUAUUUUUUAAAUUUUUGAGGCGUUCUUGAUGUUGUCGAAGGUGCUAGUCUCAUAUGCCCUUCAUCAAUUCUUGCCUAUUUCUUUGGACCUAUUUUUCAGGUGUAUUAAUUUUUCUUCUUU
rnacentral:lncRNA from 1 species